AUUGAACGCUGGCGGCGGGCCUAAUACAUGCAAGUCGAGCGGAUGAAGGGAGCUUGCUCCUGGAUUCAGCGGCGGACGGGUGAGUAAUGCCUAGGAAUCUGCCUGGUAGUGGGGGAUAACGUCCGGAAACGGGCGCUAAUACCGCAUACGUCCUGAGGGAGAAAGUGGGGGAUCUUCGGACCUCACGCUAUCAGAUGAGCCUAGGUCGGAUUAGCUAGUUGGUGGGGUAAAGGCCUACCAAGGCGACGAUCCGUAACUGGUCUGAGAGGAUGAUCAGUCACACUGGAACUGAGACACGGUCCAGACUCCUACGGGAGGCAGCAGUGGGGAAUAUUGGACAAUGGGCGAAAGCCUGAUCCAGCCAUGCCGCGUGUGUGAAGAAGGUCUUCGGAUUGUAAAGCACUUUAAGUUGGGAGGAAGGGCAGUAAGUUAAUACCUUGCUGUUUUGACGUUACCAACAGAAUAAGCACCGGCUAACUUCGUG
rnacentral:rRNA from 1 species